rnacentral:misc_RNA from 1 species
UGUUACAACGGCUCGUCUGAAAUGCCUGAGUGUACCCUGCUUUUGCGGCGUAUUCGGUGUGAUAAAUCUUCACCGGAGUCUCGACCUUUAUCGGUCGGCGCUGUCAUGACUUGGCUCUAUGCUUUCCAACCGUCCCUGACAAGGACAAAAUACUCUGACAAUUUGACCUCAAAUCGGGUGGGACUACCCGCUGAACUUAA